AGAGUUUGAUCCUGGCUCAGGAUGAACGCUAGCGGCAGGCUUAACACAUGCAAGUCGAGGGGCAGCGCGGGGCGGCAACGUCCUGGCGGCGACCGGCGGAAGGGUGCGUAACGCGUGAGCGACAUGCCCGUUGCCCGGGGACAACCGGUGGAAACGCCGACUAAUCCCCGAUGGGAUACGAUGCUUCAUGGCAUUGUAUUGAAAGUUACGGCGGCGACGGAUUGGCUCGCGUCCGAUUAGCUUGUUGGCGGGGUAACGGCCCACCAAGGCUACGAUCGGUAGGGGUUCUGAGAGGAAGGCCCCCCACAAUGGGACUGAGACACGGCCCAUACUCCUACGGGAGGCAGCAGUGAGGAAUAUUGGUCAAUGGGCGGAAGCCUGAACCAGCCAUGCCGCGUGCGGGAAGGAGGCCCUAUGGGCUGUGAACCGCUUUUGCCUGGGGGCAAUAAGGGCGUCGCGCACGUCCGAUGAGAGUACCAGGCGAAUAAGCAUCGGCUAACUCCGUGCCAGCAGCCGCGGUAAUACGGGGGAUGCGAGCGUUAUCCGGAUUCAUUGGGUUUAAAGGGUGCGUAGGCUGUGCGUCAAGUCGGGGGUGAAAUUCCGGUGCUCAACACCGGGGCUGCCCUUGAUACUGUCGCGCUGGAGUGCGGAUGCCGCCGGAGGAAUGAGUGGUGUAGCGGUGAAAUGCUUAGAUAUCACUCAGAACACCGAUUGCGAAGGCAUCUGGCGAAUCCGUAACUGACGCUGAGGCACGAAAGCGUGGGGAUAGAACAGGAUUAGAUACCCUGGUAUUCCACGCCGUAAACGAUGAUGGCUAACCGCCGGCGACACACUGUCGGUGGCCAAGCGAAAGCGAUAAGCCAUCCACCUGGGGAGUACGUCGGCAACGAUGAAACUCAAAGGAAUUGACGGGGGCCCGCACAAGCGGAGGAACAUGUG
rnacentral:rRNA from 1 species